UAAACAUAAAAUUCAAAAAAAAACAAUAAGUAACGUGCUCGUAUCAUAAGAAUAUCACAAAGAACAAUAUGUCGUCAUCACAACUUGCUAUUUUUUGCAUCAUCAUGAUUGCUUUAUUUCCUCUUCAUGAAUUUGUUCAUGGCCAAGGUCUUAACGCGGGCAAUGCAGCUAAACAAACUUGCAAGCAAAUGAAUUGCGACACUCAAGACAAAAAUCGCAGUUGUUCUUGUUGUGUCACUAAAUCUGGGAAGCCCCUCUGGUGUCACAAGAGCAAAGAUGAAUGUACGCUUAGGUGUACCAAACCACUUAACUCGAGAACUUAAAUAAGGAAUUCUAAGAAACUAAAUAAAGUUUUAUUUAAUGCUUAAUAUGUACCUUUUUGAGAAAACCUAAUAUCUUCUGUCAUUUCCCAUUAUAUGAAUAACACUGACUUAUUUGGAGUCCAACAAGUUUAUGCCUAUUUUUGUGUUUAAAGACUUUCAUAACCUACGUAAUAUACAAUAGUUUAAUUUAUCUUCUUUUUCAUA